UGAUGAAGACAGUCCCUUAAGGGCAGAGGGAGAGACUGUUGAUUUACUGGAUAUGCAAGAAAUAACUCUUCUAUGGCAGCACCUAAAAGGUGAUCAUUGAGGGGUGGGUAUUGGAAAAGUAGACCAAAAGGGUAAAAACACUGGUGGGCCGUGUAAAGCCUCAGUAUCCACAUGGCCUUUUAAAAUUGGAGGUAGGCUGGGUAGCAAAUACCUUUAAUCCCAGCACUCAGGAGGCAGAGAAAUGCAGAUUUGAGGCCAGCCUGAUCUACAGAGUGAGUUCCAGGACAGGUAGGGAAAUCUGCCCCUCUACCCCACUUCCCAGGGAAGG